rnacentral:misc_RNA from 1 species
AUUACAUAUGCAUAUAGUGUUAAUUCUAUAAAAAUGUAGUAUCAACUCACAAAGUUAUCAGGUUAAAUUAGCUUUAUCAAUGAAUAAAAAUGUUGUUGCAUGACCAAUGUCAUACCGUGGUCAAGCCACGGUAUCCAGUAAAAAUUAUUUUGCUGAGUAUCGUAGUAAAAGUUAAGAUAUGAUGUUAAGACUUUUUUUGAGUCGUGCAAUAACAUUAACAGCAAACUAUAAUACAAGUCUAUCUUUUUAAAAGUUUGUAUUGCUAGCUUGG